UAUAACUGGUCGGUGCAUACAAAUUAACACUAUUGCUCUCGCCUCUUGCCACCACCCAUCAACUAUUUAUUCAUCCAAUUGCUCACCAGAGAUCCAUCAUCAGCAUGGCAACCACGUUGAUAAUAAGAACACCCCCAUCCUCACCUCACCUAAAUGGCAUGUGCAAGGUUUUGAGAGUGACACACACCACACCCUCCAUGGUUUCUUCUUCCAAGUUCUGCAUCUCUUGCCACAUUCACACUCUAUAGCUAAAGAAUUAUCCAGAUUCAUGGGCAGAUCUAUAUGGUUGGUUUGGUUUAAGGCCUAAACAUGUCUUACCAAUUUUUAGUCA
rnacentral:lncRNA from 1 species